rnacentral:rRNA from 1 species
ACUUCGCCAUAGCAAACUCCGAAUACCGAAGAGUGCAAUCACGGGAGACAGACAUCGGGUGCUAACGUCCGGUGUCAAGAGGGAAACAACCCAGACCGCCAGCUAAGGUCCCCAAAUAUUGCUAAGUGGGAAACGAAGUGGGAAGGCUAAAACAGUCAGGAGGUUGGCUUAGAAGCAGCCAUCCUUUAAAGAAAGCGUAAUAGCUCACUGAUCGAGUCGUCCUGCGCGGAAGAUGUAACGGGGCUAAGCAAUAUACCGAAGCUGCGGAUGCACAUUUAUGUGCAUGGUAGGAGAGCGUUCCGUAAGCCUGCGAAGGUGCAUUGAAAAGUGUGCUGGAGGUAUCGGAAGUGCGAAUGCUGACAUGAGUAGCGAUAAAGGGGGUGAAAGGCCCCCUCGCCGUAAGCCCAAGGUUUCCUACGCAACGUUCAUCGGCGUAGGGUGAGUCGGCCCCUAAGGCGAGGCAGAAAUGCGUAGCUGAUGGGAAGC